rnacentral:rRNA from 1 species
CCUACGGGUGGCAGCAGUGAGGAAUAUUGGUCAAUGGACGAGAGUCUGAACCAGCCAAGUAGCGUGAAGGAUGACUGCCCUAUGGGUUGUAAACUUCUUUUAUAUGGGAAUAAAGUGUUCCACGUGUGGGCGUUUGUAUGUACCAUAUGAAUAAGGAUCGGCUAACUCCGUGCCAGCAGCCGCGGUAAUACGGAGGAUCCGAGCGUUAUCCGGAUUUAUUGGGUUUAAAGGGGGCGUAGGUGGAUUGUUAAGUCAGUGGUGAAAGGUUGGGGCUCAACCGUAAACUGGCAGUUGAAACUGGCAGUCUUGAGUAGAGUAGAGGUGGGCGGAAUGCGUGGUGUAGCGGUGAAAUGCUUAGAUAUCACGAAGAACUCCGAUUGCGAAGGCAGUUCACUGGCCUGCAACUGACACUGAGGCUCGAAAGUGUGGGUAUCAAACAGGAUUAGAUACCCGGGUAGUC